GCCUCCGUGGCUUAAUCGGAAAAACACUCGAAUGCUUUGUGGUAGGAUUUGGGUUCGAGUCCCGAGGAAGGCA